UUUUGGAAAGUAAAAGUCGUAACAAGGUUU
rnacentral:rRNA from 1 species